GACAGAGGUGGCAAGCGUUGUUCGGAUUUACUGGGCGUAAAGAGCGCGUAGGCGGUUGCAUAUGUCAGAUGUGAAAUCCCAGGGCUUAACCCUGGAAUGGCAUUUGAAACUGUGCGACUUGAGGACAGGAGGGGGAAGUGGAAUUCCCGGUGUAGCGGUGAAAUGCGCAGAUAUCAGGAAGAACACCCGUGGCUAAGGCGGCUCUCUAGUACGGUACUGACGCUGAGACGCGAAAGCGUGGGGGAGCAAACAGG
rnacentral:rRNA from 1 species